rnacentral:sRNA from 1 species
UCAAGCAGCCACGUGGAGGAUGGGCUGUGACGUGGCUGCGUCUUAAACCAUAGGAUUCACUGAGGAAAGGAAAAGUCCUCAAACUCUCCCACGGCGCAGGCAGAAGACACAGCAAAGGAGCAGCAGGCUGAGUUGGCUGACACCAUGAAUAUUCCCACAUGGGUGAUGCCCUGGGCCCUUUUUCAGCCACCCUGGUCCCUGCACACCAGGGCUGGCCCCUCUGAUGACUUCCUUCUUCUCCCCAGGAAGUGCUGGCCUAUUCCAACAGCUCAGCUCGAGGCCGUGCAUUUCUAGAACACCUGACUGACCUGUCCAUCCGCGGCACCCUCUUUGUGCCACAGAACAGUGGGCUGGGGGAGAAUGAGACUCUGUCUGGGCAGGACAUCGAGCACCACCUCGCCAAUGUCAGCAUGUUUUUCUACAAUGACCUUGUCAAUGGCACCACCCUGCAAACGAGGCUGGGAAGCAAGCUGCUCAUCACCGCCAGCCAGGAUCCACUCCAACCGACGGAGACCAGGUUUGUUGAUGGAAGAGCCAUUCUGCAGUGGGACAUCUUUGCCU